rnacentral:rRNA from 1 species
CCAAUAGCGUAUAUUAAAGUUGUUGCAGUUAAAAAGCUCGUAGUUGAAUUUCGGGGUUAGUAGGUUGGUCAUGCCAUCGGUAUGUACUGGUCUCACUGAUUCCUCCUUCCUGAUGAACCGUAAUGCCAUUAAUUUGGUGUUGCGGGGAGACUGGACUGUUACUUUGAAAAAAUUAGAGUGUUUAAAGCAGGCUAACGCUUGAAUACAUUAGCAUGGAAUAAUGAAAUAGGACGUUCGAUCCUAUUUUGUUGGUUUCUAGGAUUGACGUAAUGAUUAAUAGGGAUAGUUGGGGGCAUUAGUAUUCAAUUGUCAGAGGUGAAAUUCUUGGAUUUAUUGAAGACUAACUACUGCGAAAGCAUUUGCCAAGGAUGUUUUCAUUAAUCAAGAACGAAAGUUAGGGGAUCGAAGACGAUCAGAUACCGUCGUAGUCUUAACCAUAAACUAUGCCGACUAGGGACCGGAUGAUGUUAAUUUUUUAAUGACUCAUUCGGCGCCUUACG